UUUCAAUUUUUGACCCUAAUAAAAUACCCCAUUUCAAAAUAUAUACCCUCCACUAAUUUAUACAAAUUAAUUCCACUAUUACUCAUUUGUACCCAAAAUACCCCUCAAAUUUAAUUUUCCUAUUCACACUCUCUUUCCGUCUUUCCCUCUCUUUCACUCUCUCUCUCUCUCUCUCUCUCUCUCUCUCUCUCUCUCUCUCUCUCUCUCUCUCUCUCUCUCUCUCUCUCUCUCUCUCUCUCUCUCUCUCUCUCUCUCUGUCGUUCCAUCUCUCUCUCUGUCGUUCCCUAUCCCUCUUCGACAUCGACCCAACAUCACGACCCACUCCGGCCAUCCACCCACGUCCCCGACCCACUCCGGCCAUCCACCCACGACCCCGACCCAACCACGAACCACCACGGACCACCACCACGACCCAGUGACCACCACGAACCACCACGAACCACCACGGACCACAAAACGUCGCCACCACCACCACCCGUGAUCGUCGACACCGAACAGAGGCCUUCGCCACCACGAGCAGUACCCGUCGCCACCACCACCCGUGAUCAUUAAAAGAUGGCUCCCAGACUCAUUAUUCCAGCACCCGAGCAUUUCACUGGCCGCGUCACAUAUAGGGGCACUGGAAUUUUUGCAAAAAUUAAAGCUCGGUUUGAGGAGUUCAACCUUAAUAACACGGCGAAGGAAAGCCGUUUCGGGAGCUUCUGGAAUGCCGUACCACUGACAUUCUCCUCGGUGUUAU